GUUUGAUCCUGGCUCAGGAUGAACGCUGGCGGCGUGCCUAAUACAUGCAAGUCGAGCGAACUGAAGAGCAGCUUGCUCCUUUGACGUUAGCGGCGGACGGGUGAGUAACACGUGGGUAACCUACCUCUAAGCCUGGAAUACCUCCGGGAAACCGGGGCUAAUGCCUGAUAAUAUGUUGAACCGCAUGGCCCAACAGGGAAAGACGGUUUUGCUGUCACUUAUAGCUGGACCCGCGCCGCAGUCGCUAGUUGGUGAGGUAACGGCUCACCAAGGCGACGAUGCCUAGCCGACCUGAGAGGGUGAUCGGCCACACUGGAACUGAGCCACCGUUCCGACUCCUACGGGAGGCAGCACGAGGGCAUCUUCCCCAAUGGACCAGAGUCUGACGGCGCAACGCCGCGUGAGUGAUGAAGGUCUUCGGAUCGUAAAGCUCUGUUGUUAGGGAAGAACAAAUGUGUAAGUAACUGUGCACAUCUUGACGGUACCUAACCAGAAAGCCACGGC
rnacentral:rRNA from 1 species